GUCCCGGGCACAGUCUCUCCCCACCGCCCUGCAUGGACUUGCCCAAUAAAUUCCACUUAGUAAUUUCGCUGAGGCGAGGGAGAGCUGUUAGUGUCUGUUUUCUGACCUAAAUCUAGAGGGUGGUCAGAGCGGGCUUCAGGGAGUUGGGGGGAGAGCUAUGGGCUCAGGAAAUGACCUGGGGGAGGAGGACGAACAAGGGACGGGGUCCAAGGGGCACGAUUUGGGUUUUCUGCAGGGCUUUCUCGGAGUCUGUCUGCUCCCUUUGGGCUGCACCAUCUCCCUGGUUGAAGGGCCGAGGCUGGGGGUCCCUUUCCCCUUAAAGUCGCCAGAUUCCAGGCAGAGCUUCUUGGAGGGCCUAUCCGUCCCGCAGCGGUGGCUUCCUUCGAAGACCUGAGCUGGGAUUGGGUUCAAGGGAUUCUCUCUUGUGGUUAUCCAGGGCUGAAGGAGGCUGGCGGGUUGCGACGUGGAGAUAAGUCACGGAUCGUGGGGCCAGGUGCAGCUCACGAGGCACAGCCGAAAGGCCAAGAGCAGGCAGCAGGGUAUGAAGAGCUUGCCCCGGGGCUCGCGGGGACGACUCCUGCGUUCCCAGUAUGCCAGUACCCCAAAGUGCCCUGCAUUUGCUCUUUGAACAAAGUUCUGUUUGUCGAUGGACUGACCGGCUUACUGACGUAAAGAUGAGGAGCAAACAGAGGGACAGAUCAAGGCCCUUCCUUGACGCCUGGAGUAAGCUGGGGCCAGUGCUCUGGACGCCAGCCCCCGCUCGGGAGAGGGUCUGGAAACCGCGACUGCGUCUCUGCGGAAGGCUCCGGAUCCGGGAGGUGGCGGAUCCGCCCUCCAUCUAUUGGAUGGCUCCCAGGCCAAUUGUUAGAAAGAGGCAUAUGUUCAUCUCGGCUUCUGGAGUGUCUCCGGAGCAGUUGCUCAACAGCCAGCCCCCUCCCCCAUCCGGACCAUUGAAGGGCAGAAAAAGGAGCGCCCUCCGCCACAUUUCUCUUUGCCCACAUGCCAGAAAGGGUCUCCCCACUGGUAACUUCCUGUCAUCUCCACUGUCCACCUCCUUGGGAGCAGGAAAGAGAGGGGCUACGGGCACUCAGCUUUGGAGCACAAAAGCCACCCUUUUCCUUUGGGGGGCAGAUGGAAGGGGAGGUUAGUCUCAGAGGCAGGGAGAGAGCAAAGGAGACAUUUGCAUUUCUCUGCAAAUAUGCCCUGGAUCACUGACUUCCCAGUCGGUUCCAGCAGAGCUCAGAGCUCUCCGCUGAACUCUUAUCUCUAACUUGGCAACUAGACUGCGAGCUCGCAAACCAAGGAGAGGACAGGGAUGAUCACCCAGCAAGAACCUUCUGUGCUCCAGCAUUGGACCUGGCAUGUUCCCAACCAUCAUCUCACUUAAUUCCCAUGCCCUGUGAGGUAGGGUUUACCAAAGGUGAAAAGGAGUCCCAGAGAUUGUUCAAGUUCACACAGCCAGGAGGUCCGGUGUUUGAAUCCAGGUUAGGCUGAGUGUAGAGUCCUCACCCUCACCCCUGCACCUUGCUGCCUGGGAGGGUAAGGGGGCAUCUAAACUGUGGUCAAGAGUACAGGUUCAGGGGUCAGUCCUCCUGGGUUUAAAUCCCUACUCUGCCAUUUACUAGCUCUGUGAUCUUAAGCCAAAUGGCUUCAUUCUUCAGGCCUCAGUUUUCCCAUCUGUUAAAUGGGGAUUAUAAUGGGAGCAACUCCGUGGGCUUGUUGCAAGGAUCAAAGGAAAAGCUUGGGUUGAUGCCUGCUGUGUAGUAAGUGGUCCACAAAUGCUGUGCCUUCUGAUUCUUUUCCUUUUGCCUCCUAGUCCUGCCUCAGCUUACACACUUCAGGUUCAAUAAUACUUGCUGACUGAUUAAUUAAAAAACCAGGCUGUGAGGGGAUGAAGCAGGUCUAUAAACUCAGGAAGGGGAGAAAGAGGAAAAUGCAGGUUUGUUCUCAAAAUCCCACCUUCCAGAACCAAGGGCUGUCUGAGCCUUAUGAUGGGAGCAAAUUACGGAGCAAAAAAAGACCAUGACUUUUUACAGGACAGCCCGUAUGCAUACAGAGUGGUCUCUAGAAACAUAUACAAUAAGUGUGUAGAAAAGUUAAAAAGCACACAUUGCCACGUGGCUUGCAGGAUCUCAGUUCAAACCCCGACCAGGGAUCAAACCCCGGACAACAGCAGUGAAAGGCUGGAGUCCUAACCACUAGGCCACCAGGGAUCUCCCAUAAAAGCACAGGUCUUUGUUUAAGAAUGUUUGGAGCAGAAUUGUUUGUAAUAGUGAAAAAUGGAAAGCAAUUUAAAUGUCCAUGGUGAAGGAGCGGCCCUUGGUACCUUGAUACUAAAAAACAUUGUUUUUAAAUCCUGAUUUCAAAAACUCUUUUAUUCAUGGGAAAAUGUUCACAACAAAAUAUUAACUAAAAAAAAGACACAGGGUACAAAGUUGCAUAAAUAUGAUGCCAAGUUGCAAAGGGCACAAAGAGCAGAAAAUUAAGUACUCACUGUUUCCAACCAUGUAUGAAUAUGGGUAAUGAAGCAAUGGUCAGGAAAACAACAGUGUCAGGCGGGUGGUAGGAUUGUGAGAAAUUUUUUUUCUCUUUUCUCUGUUAUGCAAUAUGAUUAUAUUAUUCUUAUAAUUUACUAUAAGUUUAUAGUUAAUGGACUGCGUAAACAGUAUGCUUCUACUAUUGUUAAAAUUAUUUGUGCAUAGAAAAAAUAUUGAAAGAAUAUACACCAAAAUAGGGACUUCCCUGGUGGUCCAGUGGUUAAGACUCCGCACUUCCAAUGCAGGGGGCACAGGUUUGAUCCCUGGUUGGGGAACUAAGAUCCCACAUGCUGCGGGGUGUGGCCCACCCCCCCAAAAAAGUAUCUUAAGGAAAAAAAAAAACCUAGAAAAAAACAAACAGAACACCAAAAUGUUAACAGUGAUUAUAAUUGAAUGGUGGGAUUAUGGAUGAUAUUUUUCUUUUCCUUUAUUUUUCUGCUAUAAGAUUAUAUUAUUUUCUUACAAUUAAAACAGGUGCAUAAUUUGAAAAGUGCGUAAUCAGUACAAUCCCACUGGUGUUAACAGUAUGGCUGUAAAUUGAAAAAAAUGGGAAGGAAAUGUAUUAAAAUAUUAACAGUUUUUAUAUUAAGUGGUAAAGGAUUAUGGUUCUUCUUUAAUAUGAUUUUAUUACUUUUAUAGUUAAAAUAAAAUGAAUACUUACGAAUGGCAUAUACAGUAGGAUCCCACUUUUGUUAAAAAUGUAUAUAUAUGUGGGUGUGCAUAGAAUAAAUAAUAGACGACUCCAAAAUGUGGUUGUCUCUGGGUGGUAGGGUUAUGGGUGAUUUUUGUUUUCUCUCUUUUUAAAAAAAAUUUUAUUGGCGUAUAGUUGAUUUACAAUGUUGUGUUAGUUUCAGCUGUACUGUUUUCUCUUUUAUACAGGAUUUCUUCAUUUUCCAAAUUUUUUACAGCUAUCAUGUAUUAUCUUUUAGUUAUGAAAAAUGUAAAAAAGAAUUCAAUACUGAAGUAUUUAUGGGAAAAAAGGGCAUGUCUGGGAUUUGCUUUAAAAUAUUCCAGUGGGGA